UACAGAGGUCUCAAGCGUUGUUCGGAUUCAUUGGGCGUAAAGGGUGCGUAGGUGGCGUGGUAAGUCGGGUGUGAAAUUUCGGAGCUUAACUCCGAAACUGCAUUCGAUACUGCCGUGCUUGAGGACUGGAGAGGAGACUGGAAUUUACGGUGUAGCAGUGAAAUGCGUAGAGAUCGUAAGGAAGACCAGUGGCGAAGGCGAGUCUCUGGACAGUUACUGACGCUGAGGCACGAAGGCCAGGGGAGCAAACAGG
rnacentral:rRNA from 1 species